GGUCUCCUCCUAUAGUAGUGGUGCAGGGAGGAGCCCCCCCUGCAGCCAGUGGGAGAGACAGAGAAUAAAAAAGAGGAAAAUCGUCAUGGCUGCCAGGAGCUGGUGGCUGCCAUGUUUUCCUGUCUCUUACACUG